rnacentral:tRNA from 1 species
GAGGUUGUAGCUCAGUGGUAGAGCGCUUGCCUAGCAUGUGUGAGGCACUGGGUUCAAAUCUCAGCACCACA